rnacentral:rRNA from 1 species
UACGUAGGGUGCGAGCGUUAAUCGGAAUUACUGGGCGUAAAGCGUGCGCAGGCGGUUUUGUAAGUCUGUCGUGAAAUCCCCGGGCUUAACCUGGGAAUUGCGAUGGAGACUGCAAGGCUAGAAUCUGGCAGAGGGGGGUAGAAUUCCACGUGUAGCAGUGAAAUGCGUAGAGAUGUGGAGGAACACCGGAUGGCGAAGGCAGCCCCCUGGGUCAAGAUUGACGCUCAUGCACGAAAGCGUGGGGAGCAAA